GACGAACCGUGCGAACGUUGUUCGGAAUCACUGGGCUUAAAGAGCGCGCAGGCGGCUUGGUAAGUCGGAUGUGAAAUCCCGAGGCUCAACCUCGGGUCUGCAUCCGAUACUGCCCGGCUAGAGGUAGGUAGGGGAGAUCGGAAUUCCUGGUGUAGCGGUGAAAUGCGCAGAUAUCAGGAGGAACACCGGUGGCGAAGGCGGAUCUCUGGGCCUUACCUGACGCUCAGGCGCGAAAGCUAGGGGAGCGAACUGG
rnacentral:rRNA from 1 species